UUGACUUGGAAUUGGGAUGUUCUUGAUUCUUGUACCCCACCACCAGUCAUACUCAAGGGUCAUCAUCGGACCUGCGACGAAUCCUUUCAUUCUACGGGUUUGGUUCCAAGCGUUCAAUAUUUCACGAACCUUCUUUCUAUAAUUAUCUCCCUUGUAAGUGAACUCGCAUUGAGCCAACACUUGUGUCGCUAGUAUGAACUGCUUUGAUCGAUGCUGCCUUAACACGAGAAGUGGAA
rnacentral:lncRNA from 1 species